rnacentral:rRNA from 1 species
UACGUAGGGGGCAAGCGUUGUUCGGAAUUACUGGGCGUAAAGGGCGCGUAGGCGGCACGGCAAGUCGGGAGUGAAAGCCCGGGGCUCAACCCCGGAGGGUCUUCCGAAACUGCCGAGCUAGAGUGCGGAAGAGGCAAGCCGGAAUUCCCAGUGUAGCGGUGAAAUGCGUAGAUAUUGGGAAGAACACCAGAGGCGAAGGCGGGUUGCUGGGCCGACACUGACGCUGAGGCGCGAAAGCCAGGGGAGCAGAG